rnacentral:lncRNA from 1 species
AUUUUCAAAAUAUUGAAUUAAAUCUGAUGAUCUUGAAUGUUACAAUUUGUCUCAUAAUAUUUUAACAUUAUCAGGUCACGUGAUGUUAUAUCGGAUAGUUCCUAAAUAAAAAUGCGAUACCAGAUUUUACAGGUUGAGAAAUACCCCUCUAUCAAAUCCCCUUUUUUAACGUUUUCCUUUUUGCAAAUUCCUUGAUAUUAGCGUGACACUACAUAUUCUAUAGUUAGAGAAGUAGCUGGGAAUUUGGUGGAGAAAUAUUCCUUCAACAGAUCUCAUGAUUAAAAAAUUAUUGUUUCAAAUACUCCAAUAUUAACGUUACAUUUAUAGAUUUAUUCAUUAUUUAUUUAUUUAUUAGAUUGGUAGGUAGGGAAAUAGCUGGGAAAGAAUUGUAAUAUUUGAAAAUCGGCCAUCAGAGAUAGUAGUCAUUUGUAGCCUAUUGCAAUCUGUGAAACUGACAACGUUUAACCCUGUUCGUUUAACAUAAAAAUGGUAUUUUCUAUUGUUUCAACUUGAAUUUGAUGAAACUCAAAAUAUUUCUUUAUGAGAAAUUGCAAUUUUUAUGAAUGUACUGACUUCGGCAAAUAAAUUCCAUUAAUUGAUUUAAAUAGAUGUGAUAACAAAGUUUAACUCUGAAAUUGUCAACCUCGAAUUAGUACAAUUAAAAAUAUUCAGCCCGUUGUUUAUCUGACUUUUUAUAUGUGAAUUUCUAUGAGAGACUUAUGAGUUAGGUUGAGUUAGUUGGGUUUAUUCUGUAAUAUUUUAAAUUUCUUAUCAUUUUUAUACUUUAGUGCAUUUAUAUUUCUCGUCAUCCAGGUUAGUUAUGACUUAUGAAGUUGGUUUAAUAUAUAUGUUUGUACAAAAAUGUUGUCGUUAGAAGAUUAGUUUCAGAGACUCUCAUCUCAGUGAUAUAGUGAGACUCAAAAUGAACAUAUAAAAGGAGAAAUCCAUUAAAAAACGAGUUGGUACAUUAUGGAGUCGAGGAAUCUAUCAUGAAACAUACAAGAAAGGAUCUGUGGAAAAUAAUCUGGAUGGGACUAAGCAACCAGCGUUGGAAUAUUGAGGUUGGGAAAUACUGUGAUAUUGAUACAAAAAGAAGAUGUUAUAAUAAAGUCUCAAGAUGAACUCUCAUGCAACCUGAAGUGAACAAAAUGAUGGAGAUUAUUCUACAUCUACAAUAUUUCGAAAAACUUGAUUGGAGAAAUAUAAAGUUACCAACGAACUCUGCUCAUUCUUCAGCCAACUUAUGAUGUCACCUGAUGUUCUGGAAACCAAAAGAUUAUGAAAACUCCAUUUGUUCGAUGAAUUUUGGUGUCUCAAGCCCUCAACGAAGUAUACGAAGUGAUAAAAUCGAAUUAAUACCUUCAAAGAAUGGUUAACAUUAUCUACGAAUUGCAGUUCUUCAGAUUUUACCAGCUCAGCGAUAUUUUACACCUUCGAAUAAUUCUAGUGAUUCAUCCACCGAUUUUGAGCUUCGUAAAUUCAACUAACAAAUUUCAUAAGUGAUUACAUUCUUCGCAAAUUCAGUUUGCUACACAAUUUCAAAGGAAAACUCUCUAUAAUGUAGAGCAGCUCCACAUGUUUGUAUACAUGACGGAUCAUGACCAAUAAUUCAUGUCCUCAAACACAAUUCAUCUGAGUAAUUUACAAUAAUAAUGAUUGGAUAAAUUUUCAUUGAACUGAUAGCCCUUCCAGUGCUCCGAUGUGAGAAACUGUUAUCGUAAUUACAAGUGUGUAUAAAAGACUAGAACUGUUUUCGUCGGAUUUAUUAUUUAUUCUAAAUAAAAUAUUUCAAUUACCUACUAUUCGAACUGUCCAAGUUGGAAAAUAUUUCCCCAGACUUUUGUUUUCCAUCGAUCUUCGAACUUGUGUUCAACAAUUUUCCAAUAUCGAUUAUAUUUGCGACAAAACUGUUGAAUUUAUGGGAGUAUUGAUUUGGUUGAUUUUACUUCCGAGAUUACUACUAACUUGUAGAAGAAAUUUUAAAAAGUUCAAUUUUUCAAAGAUGUUGAAUAUGGAUGUAAUGAUUUUCGUCUUGAACGACAGAUUCACAGAUUAAGAAUAGUUGGAAUACUAGUG